AUUGAACGCUGGCGGCAGGCUUAACACAUGCAAGUCGAGCGGGGUGAUGGUGCUUGCACUAUCACUUAGCGGCGGACGGGUGAGUAAUGCUUAGGAAUCUGCCUAUUAGUGGGGGACAACAUCUCGAAAGGGAUGCUAAUACCGCAUACGUCCUACGGGAGAAAGCAGGGGAUCACUUGUGACCUUGCGCUAAUAGAUGAGCCUAAGUCGGAUUAGCUAGUUGGUGGGGUAAAGGCCUACCAAGGCGACGAUCUGUAGCGGGUCUGAGAGGAUGAUCCGCCACACUGGGACUGAGACGCGGCCCAGACUCCUACGGGAGGCAGCAGUGGGGAAUAUUGGACAAUGGGGGAAACCCUGAUCCAGCCAUGCCGCGUGCGUGAAGAAGGCCUUAUGGUUGUAAAGCACUUUAAGCGAGGAGGAGGCUCUUUUGGUUAAUACCCAAGAUGAGUGGACGUUACUCGCAGAAUAAGCACCGGCUAACUCUGUGCCAGCCGCCGCCGUAA
rnacentral:rRNA from 1 species